rnacentral:rRNA from 1 species
UACGGGGGGGGGGGCAAGCGUUGUUCGGAAUUACUGGGCGUAAAGGGCUCGUAGGUGGCCAACUAAGUCAGACGUGAAAUCCCUCGGCUUAACCGGGGAACUGCGUCUGAUACUGGAUGGCUUGAGUUUGGGAGAGGGACGCGGAAUUCCAGGUGUAGCGGUGAAAUGCGUAGAUAUCGGAAGGAACACCAGUGGCGAAAAGCGGCUUCCUGGUCCAGCACCGAUGUUCAGGCACGAAAGCGUGGGGAGCAAACAGG